GACGAACCGUACGAACGUUAUUCGGAAUCACUGGGCUUAAAGGGUGCGUAGGCUGCGCAGCAAGUUGGGUGUGAAAUCCCUCGGCUUAACCGAGGAACUGCGCCCAAAACUGCUGUGCUCGAGGGAGAUAGAGGUGAGCGGAACUUAGGGUGGAGCGGUGAAAUGCGUUGAUAUCCUAAGGAACACCGGUGGCGAAAGCGGCUCACUGGAUCUCUUCUGACGCUGAGGCACGAAAGCUAGGGUAGCGAGCGGG
rnacentral:rRNA from 1 species